GGCCCCGUAGCUCAAUUGAAUAGAGCAUCAGAUUACGGCUCUGAAGGUUUUAGGUUUGACUCCUAACGAGGUCACGA
rnacentral:tRNA from 1 species